rnacentral:rRNA from 1 species
GAUGAACGCUAGCUACAGGCUUAACACAUGCAAGUCGAGGGGCAGCAUGGUCUUAGCUUGCUAAGGCCGAUGGCGACCGGCGCACGGGUGAGUAACACGUAUCCAACCUGCCGUCUACUCUUGGACAGCCUUCUGAAAGGAAGAUUAAUACAAGAUGGCAUCAUGAGUCCACAUGUUCACAUGAUUAAAGGUAUUCCGGUAGACGAUGGGGAUGCGUUCCAUUAGAUAGUAGGCGGGGUAAUGGCCCACCUAGUCUUCGAUGGAUAGGGGUUCUGAGAGGAAGGUCCCCCACAUUGGAACUGAGACACGGUCCAAACUCCUACGGGAGGCAGCAGUGAGGAAUAUUGGUCAAUGGGCGAGAGCCUGAACCAGCCAAGUAGCGUGAAGGAUGACUGCCCUAUGGGUUGUAAACUUCUUUUAUAAAGGAAUAAAGUCGGGUAUGCAUACCCGUUUGCAUGUACUUUAUGAAUAAGGAUCGGCUAACUCCGUGCCAGCAGCCGCGGUAAUACGGAGGAUCCGAGCGUUAUCCGGAUUUAUUGGGUUUAAAGGGAGCGUAGAUGGAUGUUUAAGUCAGUUGUGAAAGUUUGCGGCUCAACCGUAAAAUUGCAGUUGAUACUGGAUAUCUUGAGUGCAGUUGAGGCAGGCGGAAUUCGUGGUGUAGCGGUGAAAUGCUUAGAUAUCACGAAGAACUCCGAUUGCGAAGGCAGCCUGCUAAGCUGCAACUGACAUUGAGGCUCGAAAGUGUGGGUAUCAAACAGGAUUAGAUACCCUGGUAGUCCACACGGUAAACGAUGAAUACUCGCUGUUUGCGAUAUACAGCAAGCGGCCAAGCGAAAGCGUUAAGUAUUCCACCUGGGGAGUACGCCGGCAACGGUGAAACUCAAAGGAAUUGACGGGGGCCCGCACAAGCGGAGGAACAUGUGGUUUAAUUCGAUGAUACGCGAGGAACCUUACCCGGGCUUAAAUUGCAGAUGAAUUACGGUGAAAGCCGUAAGCCGCAAGGCAUCUGUGAAGGUGCUGCAUGGUUGUCGUCAGCUCGUGCCGUGAGGUGUCGGCUUAAGUGCCAUAACGAGCGCAACCCUUGUUGUCAGUUACUAACAGGUUCCGCUGAGGACUCUGACAAGACUGCCAUCGUAAGAUGUGAGGAAGGUGGGGAUGACGUCAAAUCAGCACGGCCCUUACGUCCGGGGCUACACACGUGCUACAAUGGGGGGUACAGAGGGCCGCUACCACGCGAGUGGAUGCCAAUCCCAAAAACCUCUCUCAGUUCGGACUGGAGUCUGCAACCCGACUCCACGAAGCUGGAUUCGCUAGUAAUCGCGCAUCAGCCACGGCGCGGUGAAUACGUUCCCGGGCCU